UUUUCGUAGGUGAACCUGCGGAAGGAUCAUUAUUGAAAAAAGUUGGUUGGGUUGUUUCUGGCUCCUCCGUUCUGUUGCACGCCCGCUCCAUUUUUAACCACCUGUGCACCUUGUGUAGUUAUGAACACUUCUCUGGGAAACUCGGUCAGAGGAUUGCUGUGUGUAAAUGCCAGCUUUUCUUGGGGUCAGAUCUAUGUCUUUAUAUAAAACAUAAGAAUGUAUAGGAAUGUAAUUGAAAGGCGUUAACGACUUUAAAAUUCAAAUACAACUUUCAACAACGGAUCUCUUGGCUCUG
rnacentral:misc_RNA from 1 species